rnacentral:rRNA from 1 species
UGCCCUGCACUCUGGGAUAAGCCAGGGAAACUGGGUCUAAUACCGGAUAUGACUGCAUGCCGCAUGGUGUGUGGUGGAAAGCUUUAUGUGGUGCAGGAUGGGCCCGCGGCCUAUCAGCUUGUUGGUGGGGUAAUGGCCUACCAAGGCGACGACGGGUAGCCGACCUGAGAGGGUGACCGGCCACACUGGGACUGAGACACGGCCCAGACUCCUACGGGAGGCAGCAGUGGGGAAUAUUGCACAAUGGGCGGAAGCCUGAUGCAGCGACGCCGCGUGAGGGAUGAAGGCCUUCGGGUUGUAAACCUCUUUCAGCAGGGACGAAGCGCAAGUGACGGUACCUGCAGAAGAAGCACCGGCUAACUACGUGCCAGCAGCCGCGGUAAUACGUAGGGUGCGAGCGUUGUCCGGAAUUACUGGGCGUAAAGAGUUCGUAGGCGGUUUGUCGCGUCGUUUGUGAAAACCCGGGGCUCAACUUCGGGCUUGCAGGCGAUACGGGCAGACUUGAGUGUUUCAGGGGAGACUGGAAUUCCUGGUGUAGCGGUGAAAUGCGCAGAUAUCAGGAGGAACACCGGUGGCGAAGGCGGGUCUCUGGGAAACAACUGACGCUGAGGAACGAAAGCGUGGGUAGCAAACAGGAUUAGAUACCCUG